rnacentral:piRNA from 2 species
UGAUUCAAUUUUAAGAAGGUGUCU